AGGACGGUGGGAGCUUGCUAGACGACAAUGGCAUGCCGAAGAAGAAGGCGGCGGGGCCGCAGCAGGGCAGUCGGCCAUGGAAGGGCGGCAACGGGCUCUACUGCGUUGGGCUGGGGAUGGCUGGACUGGCUGGCAUCUCUCGUGACGCAGUGAGCGUUGCUGCGGACAUCAAGGCCGCGGUGGAUUCCAUGGUGGGGCCGCCGGCGUUCUGGUUCUGAUCGAACAGCUUAGAUCUAUCUGCUAGCUCGAUCGUCGAUGCAUGGACGGAGUGAAGAAUAAUAACGUUACGUACGUACGUACCGCGCGAUCGAGAGGAGAUCAUCGAUCUCUAUCCAUCCGACGUGUGGUGCGUGCGUGCGUGCUGCUGGUUAAGAAUAAUUAAGUAAGAGUGUUUGUUAUUGGCUAGCUAUAGCUAGCUUUGUGAACGUACCCUUUAUUGUCUGUGUGUGCAGUGUGUGUGUUGUACCGUCGUUCCGCUAGCUCUGUGUUUGUUUCCUUGAUAGCAGCUUUGUGUUUGUAUAUAUGUGUGUCGUGUUUAAUUAAUAUUUAUAUAUGCUGUCAUUUGU
rnacentral:lncRNA from 7 species